CCUACGGGAGGCAGCAGUGAGGAAUAUUGGUCAAUGGGCGCGAGCCUGAACCAGCCAAGUCGCGUGAAGGAUGACGGCCCUACGGGUUGUAAACUUCUUUUAUAAGGGAAUAAAGUGAGGCACGUGUGCCUUUUUGUAUGUACUUUAUGAAUAAGGAUCGGCUAACUCCGUGCCAGCAGCCGCGGUAAUACGGAGGAUCCGAGCGUUAUCCGGAUUUAUUGGGUUUAAAGGGAGCGUAGAUGGGUUGUUAAGUCAGUUGUGAAAGUUUGCGGCUCAACCGUAAAAUUGCAAUUGAAACUGGGAGGCUUGAGUACAGUUGAGGUAGGCGGAAUGCGUGGUGUAGCGGUGAAAUGCUUAGAUAUCACGAAGAACCCCGAUUGCGAAGGCAGCUUACCAAGCCGCCACUGACACUGAUGCUCGAAAGCGUGGGUAUCAAACAGGAUUAGAUACCCUGGUAGUC
rnacentral:rRNA from 1 species